AUGGAGAUGGGUGAGUAAUACAUGUGUUCACAUGUGAUAUAUUACUGUUUAUAUUAAAAUGAAGCAAAUGUUCUUGACUUUGUUUUAUUGGAAAUAGAUUCGAUGAAUACUAUCACAAAAUGGUUAUUGAUGCUAUUGCUUCAUGCAUAAAAGGUAAGUUUGAGGAGGCAAAGCCAUCAUAGAAAAAGUUUUCUCAAACUACUCGAGAUUUUUGGUUGGAAGAAUUCAAGGUAAUGACGUGUAAAACUUUAAAUUGAUUG
rnacentral:lncRNA from 1 species